AAGUCUUUUUGGAUAAAAGCGUCUAACAAAUGACAUGUAAUGUAGUCACUUGUUUGCCACCUCUGUUUUUAUGACAUGUAGAAUUUUCAGACAUUCACCAGAGAUAUUUACUGAUGUAUUUUAUGUUGUAAAACAAAACUUCCAAAUCUCUUCAGCUUGCGGCAUCUAACAAAAACAGGUUAAACAGGCUGUUGUCUUCAGGAAAAGGGAACAGGGAGGUCCUGCACCGCUCUACAGUAGUUAUCUAACCUUGUUUAUUGUUUCAAGGACUGGCAGAGUUGGCCUCUCGAAAAUAUAAACCAGCUGCCAAGUGCUUCCUGCAGGCUUCCUUUGACCACUGUGACUGUCCUGAGGUGAGUGAUCUCCUGUCCCCCAGUAAUGUAGCUGUGUAUGGAGGCAUGUGUGCUUUGGCCACAUUUGACAGACAGGAGCUCCAGCGUAACGUCAUCUCCAGCAGCUCCUUUAAGUUAUUUCUAGAGUUGGAACCUCAGAUCCGGGACAUCAUCUUCAAGUUCUAUGAGUCCAAGUAUGCAUCCUGUCUCAAGCUGCUGGACGAAAUGAAGGUGAGCAGGAAACUAAUCUGAGGCGUCACACA